CAAAAAUAUGAAAAAUACUUUUAUUCAAAAAAGAAGAGCAUUUGUGUUCCUUAAUCGGAAAUGGAAAUAUUGACAUGCCAAAUGAGUUCGCGGCACGCUUAAGUUGAUUAGAAUUUUGAGCAGCAAUCACAUCACGUGACGAGUCCGAGUCCGAAUCCGAAUCCGAAUCC